rnacentral:rRNA from 2 species
UGCAGUCGAGCGAUGGAUUAAGAGCUUGCUCUUAUGAAGUUAGCGGCGGACGGGUGAGUAACACGUGGGUAACCUACCCAUAAGACUGGGAUAACUCCGGGAAACCGGGGCUAAUACCGGAUAAUAUUUUGAACUGCAUAGUUCGAAAUUGAAAGGCGGCUUCGGCUGUCACUUAUGGAUGGACCCGCGUCGCAUUAGCUAGUUGGUGAGGUAACGGCUCACCAAGGCGACGAUGCGUAGCCGACCUGAGAGGGUGAUCGGCCACACUGGGACUGAGACACGGCCCAGACUCCUACGGGAGGCAGCAGUAGGGAAUCUUCCGCAAUGGACGAAAGUCUGACGGAGCAACGCCGCGUGAGUGAUGAAGGCUUUCGGGUCGUAAAACUCUGUUGUUAGGGAAGAACAAGUGCUAGUUGAAUAAGCUGGCACCUUGACGGUACCUAACCAGAAAGCCACGGCUAACUACGUGCCAGCAGCCGCGGUAAUACGUAGGUGGCAAGCGUUAUCCGGAAUUAUUGGGCGUAAAGCGCGCGCAGGUGGUUUCUUAAGUCUGAUGUGAAAGCCCACGGCUCAACCGUGGAGGGUCAUUGGAAACUGGGAGACUUGAGUGCAGAAGAGGAAAGUGGAAUUCCAUGUGUAGCGGUGAAAUGCGUAGAGAUAUGGAGGAACACCAGUGGCGAAGGCGACUUUCUGGUCUGUAACUGACACUGAGGCGCGAAAGCGUGGGGAGCA